GUGCUUUACUUUGAAAUAACACUGGUCUUUAUGAGACAUUUUGUGAGGACUGCUCUUUGCCAGAUUUUUGUGGGGGAGAGGAGACAGGACAGCCCUUCAUACAGACUUGGACUCAUCUUCAUAUGUAUAUAGUUCACUUUCUUCACUGUAAAAAUGAGAAGGUUGGACGGAGAUGACCUUUAAGAUUUUAUCUAUUACUAAAUUCUCCUGGCUGUAUCCUGCUUCCUCCCUUGGGCCUAAGUAAACAACUAUUGGUUAUCAACUGACAUACAAGCUAGUGCCAUCUAAAGUUGCAGGGAACCCUCAGCACUGAAGUCAAGAUGUAGAAGCUGAACUUCUUUCAUGUAACCAAAAAGGCUACUGAGGAAAACUACUUACUGCGAGCCUACUAUAUGCU